AUGGCUGGUCUUCCUCUAGAUGGAGACUUUUAUGAAGAAUUUAUCCCACCAGAACAUGCACUAGACCCCUCCCUUUGCCAAUUCCCUGACUUCUUAUCGGACCUAUUAUCCGCACAUGAUCAGCUUGCCAAGAACAAUGGCGGCCACGUGACUUUCCAGGUCUGGUGUGACUAUUUUCACAACCGGCGAGACCAUUCCGUUCCUUUCGCGUCUCUUCGUGAGGUCCGCUUCACCCAUCCUGUAGGACCCUGCUACCGGAUUAGGGGAUGGCCCGUCCAUUUCAUUAUCGGCUGGAUGGGGGUUUAUCUGAAGAAUGUAUUUGGUAAACGAGAAAAAGUGAGCAAAUUUCCAACUCCUAAGCUUUGUCCAGGGAAAUUAUCUAUGGUGGGGACUAUGUUUAGGAUUCCACACGAUUUUAGCCCUGAAAAGGCGCACGAUUUCUUCGAGAAACACAAGAGUAUUGUGUGGUACCCCUCAAAUUUCUCUGACUUGGCUAGCACUCGUUGGCUGCAAAAAGCAUUCACCAUUUCCAUCCAUCGAGGGAUGCUACCGUGGAGAAGGUCCGAUUAUGAUGACGACUUGUGCAUUGUUGAGCCGUAUCACCCCGACCGGGUGGCUCGACAAUUCAAAUUGGAUCAGCAAAUUUUGGAAGGGGAUCUUGUCGUAGUAAAGAGGGUGUCUGCUGAACGGCAAGAGGAAUAUCUUGCAGCUAUUGAGGCGAGAGAAAUGCCGACAGUGAAUCAUUGGAGGGACAUCUUAAGAGGUUACCACUUGGAUAACAAUGCCCCGCCACCUUGGUUGCAACAGAAGCGGAAAAAUAAUCCAAAUGAUGUUGCUGCAAGUUCCUCUUCCAAUCCCCGGCCACUUAUAAGCGUGACAGUAUCAGGCACACGUUUAAAUGCAAGGAAGGAGGGUACUGACAUUUUGGUUGAUAGGAACUCAGAGGAACCUAGUCCAAAUGCAACAAUCUCUUCCGGUGGGGAGGAAAGACCUGCUGUAAAAAGGAAGAUUGAAAUUUCUCUUGGAGAAAGCCCAUGUAAUCUUGACGAGUUGGUUGAUUUUAUGCAUGAACUUGAUGAUACAGGGACUGAUGAUAAUGUCAUAGGUUCU
rnacentral:rRNA from 1 species